ACCGUUAACAACACUUUAGGACGUUAUAGAAAUGAACUUACUAAAUGUCCCCGACACGUUUAUUGAAUUACAGACAGCUUUUACAUCCGCUAAACAAAUGAAAAAUAUUGUCCUCAACGUAUAUAUAUAUAUAUAUAUUUGUUUAAGUACUAAUGUUACCGUCCUCACUACUACAACAAAAACAUUUAAAUGAAAUACUGAACAAUUACAAAGGACUAGUUUUUCUGAGUAGCUUCAAAGUCUCUCCAAAAACAUUAUCAGCAAUGCAGGGUUUUUAUAUAUAUAUAUAUAUAGAUACACACGUCAUUGGAAUGACAGAGCUCUGCCGCUUUUUAAUAGCUGUUUAAAUGGUGGCGUUACGCCGUGGGGGAAGUCGGCGGGGGGGAAGUCGGCGGUGGG
ensembl:lncRNA